GAAAAAUUUGUUACUCUUUCGAAAUGGGAAUCUUUUAAACUUAAAAUUAUAAAAAGGAAGGAUCAGAAAAACAUUAAACUUUUAUCAAUUUUAUAACAAGAUAUUCAAAGAUUGUAAAAAUUAUACUACCACUAUUCUAUUAAAUGCUAUUUUGAAACCACAAAUGGUAAAAUUUUACAUACGUGGCCGAAACAAAAAAGCAAUGGGAAACUUCAAUUUAUUGUAGAUGGACAGAAAUCUUUUCUUUUUACAUUAAAAAUAAUGUGAAACAACUAAAAAAA